GACGAACGCUGGCGGCGUGCUUAACACAUGCAAGUCGAGCGGAGCGGCGAACGGGUGAGUAACGCGUGAGUAACUGCCCCCCUCUCUGGGAUAACAGUUGGCAACGGCUGCUAAUACCGGAUAGUGUGGGAUGACUCGCGUCCUAUCAGCUUGUUGGUGGGGUAGUGUCCUACCAAGGCGACGACGGGUAGCCGGCCUGGGAGGGCGACCGGCCACAUGGGGCUGAGAUACGGACCAAACUCCUACGGGAGGCAGCGGUGGGGAAUGUGGCACAAUAGGGGAAGCCCUGAUGCAACAACGCCGGGUGCGUGAUGACGGCCUGCGGGGAGUAAAGCGCUUACAGCUAUAACGCGGUAGUGGCAGAAGAAGCACCGGCUAACUACGUGCCAGCCGCCGCGGUAAUUC
rnacentral:rRNA from 1 species